UUUCACCAAAUAUUUCUAUAGUUCUACUCUAGUAGUCCAAUUGACAGAACAAAUAGCAAGUGCGAUUUUAUUCAAUGCUUUGAAUGUGUUGUAAAGAUAAUACCACCAACUAUGGGUGGCAAUUGAUUCUUGUGAUAACAUACUAUAAAGGUAAAGGUAUGGAUAAAAAAGAAAAUGCGUCCUUUGAAAGAUAUAGAACAAACUUGAAAUUCAAUGAAUUGUUCUUUUACAAAGCGCAUCACCAAACUUGAUUUCCCCAAGAAGCACCUAAAGAAGAACAUCAAACAUCACUGUGGUGAUCAUGACAUGCAAUACCCAAAGAAAAAUAAUUUAAGAAAAAAUAAACCUAUUCAUCACACAAUGCUAAAAUACAUAUGCCUACAUAUCCAUAAUUUCUAUGUUUACGGAACACCUUUCGAUAAGUCACAACCUUCAUUUUAAAAUGGACUUUUGUAUUUGUAUUUUGCUUGUGAGUAUGGUCUUGGUUAAAACUUCGCAUUCUAGCAUUUACUUAUAUGAUAUCAUAUAGCAAGAAAGCUAUGAGACCCAAGUCACAAUUUAUUGUAUUCUCAUAGACCCUCAAAAUACUAGAGCUAGACAAAGAUAAACAACACGAUAGAGAAACUUCUGCUUUACAUGUACAUUGACAUUUGCAUGUGCAAAGCUCUCUUUCCUCCUUUCCUUUCUUUUCUUCCUCACCUUUCGAAUCUUUCUCCUAGAUUAAGGAGAUUGUUGUUUUGUUGUUAGUGGUUGCCAUCAUCAUCACAUUGAAAUCAACUUUAGUUAAUACUAGCCUCCUGCACGCGCUCACGGGCGUGCGGAAGGCCCUUUUGUAAUUAAGGCAUUCUACGUGCGACUUAAAUAAUUUAAAUGAUAACAAAAGAGCGGUUGCUCUCUGAUCUAAUUGCAGACACAAUCUGCAGAACCGUCUUCUAUGGGAUUUGAACUUGUGAAGUGUGAGGUGGAGACCUGAAUGUAACAAAUUGGUGUUAAGUGAAUAAUUCCAAACAUAUAAAAUUUAGAUCAUCACACCGAACGCAAACAGAACAAUUAAAUAAACAACUGAAGGCAUACGCAAUCUAAUUAGACAAAUAAGUGAACUUUCCCAUGCCGAAAUCUGAAAGGCCAACAGAAAUAUCUCAUUACAGCACAGAAGACAAAACUUAGGACAAAACUUAAAACUAAUCAAACUUAGGUGAACCAAUUAUAGAGAACAUAACCCUUGUAACCAAUCGGGAAAAGAUGCUUUUAAAUCCCAGAAAAAAAAAUUAAGAGGAGUUUUUUAAAAAACCAUCAUUUCAAUUAUUUUCCAGUCUUACAUUUGGAUUAAACAGAAAAUAUAAGUAAAAAUGCCAACUUUCUAAAAAAACUACAACUAUUUUUACAAAUUUCCAUUACCCAAUGCUGAAAAAUGAGAAUCACGAAGCAAUGAAGAACGGAACACGCGAGAACCAAAAAGUUAAAAACAACACGUAACCAUUUCAAAGACCCAAAAUCCUGCAAGGACAAAAAAAUCCCAUAAAAUCAGUACAUCAGCACUCCCUGCAAAACCCCAAAAUCAGAAAAUUAUAAAAAGAACCCAAAAUCAGUGGCAUGGUCCUCGUUUCUCCAUCAUUCAGUAGCUAAUGACCUAAUGGAAAAGAACCCAAAACAUACAGCUUAAAAUAUGGAAAGUGCUUAUAAAAGCUCAUGAAUAACGUUCAAAGCCUGCAUAGAAAUGGUAUAGCGCAGAUAACAACAAACAAUAAAACUAUGCACAGUAUAACCUAAAUCCGAUAUGUUGCAUUCCCCACACACAGAUUGUUCAAAAUUAAUUUCGUCUCCGUCUUUUUUCAAAUCUGAUAAAAUCCCCAAAACACAAAAAAUAGCAGCUAACUAUUUUUUGAACUCUGUAAACAACGAUAUGCAUCUUAACCCAUUUAACAUAUUCAUAAAAUAACAUCAAACACAUUUAUGCAUGAGAUAAUAUAGAAGUGAAGUCUCACAACUUUCAUAAAAAAUUAUUACUUUGUUAGAGAAAGGCUUGAAAAAAUAUGUAAAUUACUCACCUCUAUUACAAAAAUGUUACAACAGUAGACAAAAAAGGCCAAAAAUACCAAAAGCCGCACCUCCUGAAAUAAAAAACAUAACCAAACGACACAUUCUCAGUAUCUAAACGAUAUCCAGAAAAAAAGAAAUGAACAGACGAAACCCAUGUAAAUAUACAGAACAAACCAAAAAAAAAAAAAAGAACUGAAGCCAGUAAGAAGAUCACAAAUCUGAUAAAGCAAAAGGUAACAUAAUCUAUAUCGAUUUAAUUAUCCAUCCAAAAAGACAUUUGAAUGAAGAACAUUUUUAAGGAUCCAAACAACCAUUAAACUAAACAAUUAAAAGUAAAAACAGCAAAGCAUUCAUUGAAGAAAUAUAUAUAUAUAUAUAUAUUAUAACGUAUUUUGUUCUUUAUACCUAAAAGAAAAACAUUGGCUUUCUUGUAUGCACUGAAGUAUGCAUGUGUCGGAAAUUUACAAUCUAUAGAGACUCAAUCUCAGACUCAAAAAGACAUCUAAAGGAAAAGUAAUAAGAAAAAUAAGUAGUGGUUUUACCUAUACUCCAUGUGUGGACUCCAAUUUUCAAUCACAAUUCAAAAUUCAAGAGGCCUAUAAAUCAACCACAUAGGAAAUGAUCAGUGGAAGAAAAAGAAAAACAACUGAAGCCAAAAUAGCAUCUAACAAAUCAUUUAGAACCAUCACAGAAAACAAUUUUUGCAUAUAAGUAAUUUAAAGGAAUACCAUCAGGUCAUGCAUAUAUACAACGUACCCAAUUAGAUAAGUAGCACAUCAACAAUUGAUGAUCAAAAAGUUAGUCAGCCUCAAUUGCUUGAAUCUAAUUAACUCAAAGAUAAUAAACAGUCCAUUUAAUGCACGGGCUGACUAUCAAUUUUAUAAAGCUAUAAUUCUGUGCAGUUCAAAAACCAAGUGGAAGAAUAGGCAAAAACUAUCUCAUCGCCUGUAAAUGUAAUUAACUAAAUAUUAAACUUCACAGCCACAAAUAAACCUAAAUUCCUCCUAAAACUAUCUCAUUUAAGCUUGAUUUUACUAUAAUCUAUAAGUGUGGUAAAAAAUGGGAGGCCAAACGAUUUGUUAACAAAAAAGGUAGACAUAAAAGUAAAAGGAACAGGGCAGACAUUAGUUGAGGAGAAGCUAAUGUCACCUUGAAUUGACGACAAACAGUUCUUAUCUUCUCGAAUUAACGAAGAUAAGUACCAUUUUUCUUUAAUUCAAGGUAAUAUAAAAAGAAAUUAUACCUGUACAGUGUUCAGAUGUAGCAAUCCUAUGCAAUCGGCCAAAUGAUGUGUGUCCUCUCAAAGAUCUGUAUAUCCAUUACAGACUAAUCUUCAGUCUUGCAGAAAAUGAUAUGUUGACUACAAUUUCCCAUACUACUAAAAAACACAAAUAAUUCUAUCUACAAACCAAAUAAUAUGUGCAACUUUAUGCUACAAUGGUAGAAUAAGAUGGUUGUACAGGACGACACAAAGAUUGAGACUUUUUUUUACUUCUAAAAUUCUACACACUUUCGAGCCCUAAAUUUUCCCGGAAACAAAAAAAAGUGAAAGAAGUCGUACCUGGUUUGAGAGAGUGGGACACCAUCGGCGAGUUUGGUGUAGCAGUGAUGGCGGAGAUCUCUGGUGAGAAAGCUAAUAAGAUGGACAAAAUCAUUGAACAAAAAAAACCUCGCUUUUUAAAAUUAAAGUCAACAAAAAUUUGAACAAAGAAAAGAGAACUCAAACCCGAAACAAAUAAGUCGGAGAACUCGCCAGGAAACCCAAAGUUUCUGCAGGAUUGGCGAUUUCCUGAAAACCAAGCUUUUGUAGGUUUAAAAUUUCUUCCCUAAGGCAACAGAUCCAACAUUCCCAACUUUAGCUAUUUCAGCUACAUAAUAGAAAGAAAAAAAAAUUUAUAUAAUUAACUAAUCUGAUUUAAGAUUAAUCGAAAAGCUUGGAAAUUUCAGCUUUAAAAUUACAUGUCAGGCUGCAAAUCUAAUAAAAAGCGUAGAAUUUUAAAAAUGCUGACCUUAAAUACAGAGGCCUUCGCAGGCUGCAAAGAAGCGUUAGAAACCCGAAAAACCGGAUCUCCUGAAACCAAAAACAAAACCAAAUUAACCAUCAUCACCCAUAAUUCGAAGCCACAAACAUAAUCCCCAAAAUUACAACCCAAAAAUUUAAACAAAAAAACCCAUUUAUAAAUCCAAAUUUACACUCCCAAGUGCAAGACUCUAAGCUCCAACUGUUCUUUCUCAACUUUAGCUAUUUCAGCAACAUAACAUAAAUAAAAAGGUCGUACCCAGUGCACAAGGCUCCCGCUUUACGCAGGGUCUGGGAGAGGUGAAUGUCGGCUAGCCUUACCCCCAUUUUAUGGAGAGGCUGCUCCCAAGUCUCGAACCCGAGACCUACCGCUCAUGGGCGAAGACACUUGCCAUCGCACCAAGUGCGACCUCUAGCAACAUAACAUAAAUAAAAAGAUCGUACCCAGUGCACAAGGCUCCCGCUUUACGCAGGGUCUGGGAGAGGUGAACGUCGGCUAGCCUUACCCCCAUUUUAUGAAGAGGCUGGAACAUAACAUAAAUAAAUAAACAAAAUUAAUUUAACUAUAAUUAACUAAUAUGAUUUAAGAUUAAUCAAAAAACUUGGAAAUCUGCUUGAAUCCAAUCUCAAAAUUGAAAACGAACACUUCACUUUUACAAAAGUUGUACAAAGCAAAAAAAAAAAAACAGACAAAUCAAAGUCUCACAAAGGGCCACAACGACAGCAAAAUUGCAACAGAAAGAGGAAAAAUGUUCAAUCAAACCAUUGGAUAACUCUUCUAAGGCAGCCAAAAAAAAACCCACAAAUUCAAAACCACAAAAAUCCAAUCUAAAACAUCGAUUCACAGACUGAGAUGCACAAAAUGAUAUAUUAACAAAUCCAAAACGAAAUACAAAAAUUAAGAACCAACAAGCAAAAAAAUACUGAUUAUCCCCUGCAUACGUGAGCACACGUUCAAAAAGCCUCUCAAAGGCUGAGAUUCAACUUUCAAACAUAAAGACUUUAAGCCACAAUUGUUCUUUCUUAACUUUAGCUACUUCAGUUACAUAAUCGGAAAAAAAAAAUUAUUUAAUUAUAGUUAACUAAUCUGGGUUAAGAUUAAUAAAAAAGCUUGGAAAUUUCAGAUCUAAAAUCACACCUCAGGCUGCAAGUAGAAUCAAAACCAUGGAAUUUCAAAAUCACUGACCUUAAACACACAGGUCUUCGCAGGCUUCAAAGAAAAGUCACAAACUCGAAAAACCCAAUCUCCUGAAAUCGAAAACAAAACCAAAUUAACCAUCAUCACCUAGAAUCCGAAGCUACAAAACAAAAUUCCCAAAAUCAAAACCAAAAAAUUUGAACAAAAAACUCAUUUAAUAUCCAAAUUUACACUCCCAAGCACAUAACAUUCAAAGCAGACAAUUACCCAAAUCAAAUCGACAGCAGGAGAUGCAAUCUUUUAUGGGCUUCAAAUUUUCUUCAAACCGAGACCAAAUUCGCUAGUUUUCAGCAAGAGAGCGUUGCCGUUUGUAACCCCCGAUGAAAAGAUCCAAACAAAUUUGACUAACAGUAGACAGAGAGAGAGAGAGAUAGAGAGAGAGAGGUGAAAAUUACUCGCUGGUGACGAAGCUAAUGAAUUCGGAGACGCAUUCCUGGACGGUGUUCGACUGAUCGGCACGAGUAGAGACACCAGAUCAGAAAGACAGAAAAAUUAGGGUUUGGGAGAUAAAGAAACUGGGGCAGAGAGAGAGGGAAAGAGAAGCAGAAAAGAGGAUAAUUUUAUGCAUUUUUUUUAGCCGCUUUGAAUUUUUUUUGGCCGACAGGCAUUUGCGUCCGAUUAUUUUUGUCGAAGCCGGUGACACCAAAACCGGCCUCCGGCUUUCGGACCAGGAUUGUCUGCCCCUUCAUUUUCCCUGCCAUGU
rnacentral:lncRNA from 1 species